rnacentral:rRNA from 1 species
UACAGAGGGGGCAAGCGUUGUUCGGAAUUACUGGGCGUAAAGGGCGCGUAGGCGGCCUGCUAAGUCGAACGUGAAAUCCCCGGGCUCAACCCGGGAACUGCGUCUGAUACUGGGUGGCUUGAAUUCGGGAGAGGGAUGCGGAAUUCCUGGUGUAGCGGUGGAAUGCGCAGAUAUCAGGAGGAACACCGAUGGCGAAGGCAGGUCACUGGGCCGCAACUGACGCUGAGGAGCGAAAGCAUGGGUAGCAAACAGG